rnacentral:sRNA from 1 species
UUUUAAACCAGACAGCAGCGAAAAUCCUUUUUUAUUGCACCACCGUAAAAGAUGUCCUAGACCUUUCUUCCAAUAACACGAUCAGAUAAAAACUGGCAGCGAUUAAAAAAGAUUGUAGCGUAUGGCGGGGCUGCAU